UAAUAUCUGCAUCUGCAAGUGAUGUCGAAGAAACGAAAACUGGACAUAAGAGACUUCUUUAGAAGUCAACGUGUGACAGACAGUGGAGAGACUGGAGGAGAU